rnacentral:tRNA from 1 species
AGAGGCUUAGGAUUAACAUCAGACCAAGGACCUUCAAAGCCCUUAGUGGGAGUGAAAAUCUCCCAGCCCCUG